GCCUGCCUAGCUCAAUCGGAUAGAGCGUCAGACUCUUACUACUAGGCAGUGGCAUCUGAAGGCUGCGAGUUCGACCCUCGCGGUGGGCU